rnacentral:rRNA from 1 species
GAUGAACGCUGGCGGCGUGCCUAAUACAUGCAAGUCGAGCGAACAGAUGAGGAGCUUGCUCCUCUGACGUUAGCGGCGGACGUGUGAGUAACACGUGGAUAACCUACCUAUAAGACUGGGAUAACUUCGGGAAACCGGAGCUAAUACCGGAUAAUAUAUUGAACCGCAUGGUUCAAUAGUGAAAGACGGUUUUGCUGUCACUUAUAGAUGGAUCCGCGCCGCAUUAGCUAGUUGGUAAGGUAACGGCUUACCAAGGCAACGAUGAGUAGCCGACCUGAGAGGGUGAUCGGCCACACUGGAACUGAGACACGGUCCAGACGCCUAAGGGAGGCAGCAGUAGGGAAUCUUCCGCAAUGGGCGAAAGCCUGACGGAGCAACGCCGCGUGAGUGAUGAAGGUCUUCGGAUCGUAAAACUCUGUUAUUAGGGAAGAACAAAUGUGUAAGUAACUAUGCACGUCUUGACGGUACCUAAUCAGAAAGCCACGGCUAACUACGUG